CAGCCAUGCCUCUUUCGUUCCCCCGCCACUGCUCUCUCCCUCCCCCUCCUUCCCUUACCUCUUCGCGUUCGGGAAUUAUUUUAGGGUUUUGGAACUUUGAUUCUCAUCUCCCUUUUCUCCUAAUCUCCAUCGGUAGUGGAACUGGAAGAACCGUGGGAUCGCAUUUGUAUCGACGGGAGGGUCUAUCAAGGGUAGCUUCUCUUGGAGACGCGGGCAUUCUAGGGUUUCACGUGUGGAUUCUUGUGGGUUUUGGUUCAUUUAUGUUGUGGGGUAGUAGGGGUUGGUUAUGAGGUUGAACGGGGAGAUUUCUUACAGGAAUGAGGAGGAGGAGAAGGAGAUGUGUUCGUUUCUGCCGCCGCCUCUGCCGAAGCAGAAGCUCGUCGUGGGGUACGCCCUGACAUCGAAGAAGGUCAAGAGCUUCUUGCAACCGAAGCUGGAAGGGUUGGCUAGGAAGAAGGGGAUUUUAUUUGUUGCAAUUGACCAUACUAGGCCUCUUUCAGAGCAAGGUCCUUUUGACAUUGUUCUACACAAGUUGACUGGAAUAGAAUGGCAACAAAUUCUUGAGGAUUAUUGGAGAAAGCAUCCAGAAGUCACCGUCCUUGACCCACCGGAUGCCAUACAGCACUUGCAUAAUCGGCAAUCGAUGCUUGAGGGUGUAGCUGAUUUGAAUUUAUCAGACUGCUAUGGUAAAGUUGGUGUUCCUAGGCAACUGGUAAUCACAAAAGACCCCUUAUCAAUUCCAGAUGCAGUUACCAAGGCUGGAUUAACACUACCUUUAGUUGCCAAGCCAUUGGUUGUGGAUGGAAGUGCAAAAUCACAUGAACUAUCUCUUGCUUAUGAUCAGUUCUCCUUGUCAAAGCUUAAUCCUCCAUUGGUUUUGCAGGAAUUUGUCAAUCAUGGCGGUGUUCUCUUUAAGGUAUAUAUUGUUGGGGAAAUGAUAAAAGUCAUGCGGCGGUUUUCACUUCCUGAUGUUAAUAAACACGAAAUAUUAAACAAUGCUGGUGUCUUUCGAGUUCCCAGGGUUUCUUGUGCUGCAGCCUCUGCAGAUGAUGUAGACCUGGACCCUGUAAUUGCUGAGCUUCCUCCUCGACCAUUGCUUGAGAGGCUUGGUAGAGACCUCCGUCGUAGACUGGGUCUUCGGUUGUUCAACAUAGAUAUGAUCAGGGAGCAUGGGAUGAGGGAUCGAUAUUAUGUCAUUGAUAUCAAUUAUUUUCCUGGCUAUGGCAAAAUGCCAGGCUAUGAACACAUUUUUACUGACUUUCUUCUAAGCCUGGUGCAAAGCAAAUAUAAAAGGAGAUUGAGUAACAGCUAAAGCUGCAGCUGGUGAAAUCUUCUUCGAUCUACAAACAUCAGGUGGAUGUUCUCACUCUCCAACACGUCCUCUAAAUUGUCCAUGUACAGAACUGUUGUGGGGCAUGUGAAGCUGGAGACCAUCAAAUGCAUCGGCAGUGGGCUUGAGCAGCAAAGAUGCUCCUUACCUCCUAAAAUUGCUGACGAUGUUGUUGCAUGCCUUUCCACUGGCUUUCACCACUAAUGCUUUCCCAAUCCCAAGAGGAAGCAGGGUAGUGGAUAACAAGGGGCUGCUGAGCGUCAGCAUCUUCUUGCUUAUACGCAAGAUGGGCAGGGUUUCAACUUCUGUUAUCUUCUGGAAAUAGGCCGAUCUUAAAUUCCCUUAAACUGGCCGGCCAGAUGCGGAUUCCCGGCGACUAGAGAAGAAGAAGAAGGGCCCUGACUGUAAAGUUAUGCCUUAAAGAUUGGAUUUUUGGAUCUGUUUCUGCUGCAAUAGUAGUUGAAGAUCUACUACUGAAAUAAUUUACGAAAGUUGUUUUUAGUUUGGGAAUAAGAAAAAGUGGAGUAGGAUUAGUUCCUGUGAUUCGGAUGGUUAUUGUAAAACAGCUUCGUUUUUCUUGUACAAGAUCUGAAAUGCUUGGUCU